rnacentral:rRNA from 1 species
AGUGAACGCUGGCGGUAGGCCUAACACAUGCAAGUCGAACGGCAGCACAGUAAGAGCUUGCUCUUACGGGUGGCGAGUGGCGGACGGGUGAGGAAUACAUCGGAAUCUACUUUUUCGUGGGGGAUAACGUAGGGAAACUUACGCUAAUACCGCAUACGACCUACGGGUGAAAGCAGGGGAUCUUCGGACCUUGCGCGAUUGAAUGAGCCGAUGUCGGAUUAGCUAGUUGGCGGGGUAAAGGCCCACCAAGGCGACGAUCCGUAGUUGGUCUGAGAGGAUGAGCAGCCACACUGGAACUGAGACACGGUCCAGACUCCUACGGGAGGCAGCAGUGGGGAAUAUUGGACAAUGGGCGCAAGCCUGAUCCAGCCAUACCGCGUGGGUGAAGAAGGCCUUCGGGUUGUAAAGCCCUUUUGUUGGGAAAGAAAAGCAGCAGGUUAAUACCCCGCUGUUCUGACGGUACCCAAAGAAUAAGCACCGGCUAACUUCG